AAACACCGUGCGGGAGAGUCCCCGGUCCGAAGUGGAGCCGGGGCGCCGAAGGGGCAAACUCCCCGGAACCUCUCAGGCGCAAAGGACUGCACGGAUCAG
rnacentral:ncRNA from 2 species